UACGUAGGGGGCAAGCGUUUGUCCGGAAUCAUUGGGCGUAAAGAGCGCGUAGGCGGUCCGGUAAGUCCGCUCUGAAAGUCCGGGGGCUCAACCCCCGGGAGGCGGGCGGAUACUGUCGGGCUAGAGUCCGGAAGAGGCGAGUGGAAUUCCUGGUGUAGCGGUGAAAUGCGCAGAUAUCAGGAGGAACACCGGUGGCGAAGGCGGAUCUCUGGGCCUUACCUGACGCUCAGGCGCGAAAAGCUAGGGGGAGCGAACAGG
rnacentral:rRNA from 1 species